rnacentral:rRNA from 1 species
AAAUUGAAGAGUUUGAUCAUGGCUCAGAUUGAACGCUGGCGGCAGGCCUAACACAUGCAAGUCGAGCGGAAACGAGUUGUCUGAACCUUCGGGGAACGAUAACGGGCGUCGAGCGGCGGACGGGUGAGUAAUGCCUAGGAAAUUGCCCUGAUGUGGGGGAUAACCAUUGAAACGAUGGCUAAUACCGCAUGAUGCCUACGGGCCAAAGAGGGGGACCUUCGGGCCUCUCGCGUCAGGAUAUGCCUAGGUGGGAUUAGCUAGUUGGUGAGGUAAGGGCUCACCAAGGCGACGAUCCCUAGCUGGUCUGAGAGGAUGAUCAGCCACACUGGAACUGAGACACGGUCCAGACUCCUACGGGAGGCAGCAGUGGGGAAUAUUGCACAAUGGGCGCAAGCCUGAUGCAGCCAUGCCGCGUGUGUGAAGAAGGCCUUCGGGUUGUAAAGCACUUUCAGUUGUGAGGAAGGCGGUGUAGUUAAUAGCUGCAUCGUUUGACGUUAGCGACAGAAGAAGCACCGGCUAACUCCGUGCCAGCAGCCGCGGUAAUACGGAGGGUGCGAGCGUUAAUCGGAAUUACUGGGCGUAAAGCGCAUGCAGGUGGUUUGUUAAGUCAGAUGUGAAAGCCCGGGGCUCAACCUCGGAAUUGCAUUUGAAACUGGCAGACUAGAGUACUGUAGAGGGGGGUAGAAUUUCAGGUGUAGCGGUGAAAUGCGUAGAGAUCUGAAGGAAUACCGGUGGCGAAGGCGGCCCCCUGGACAGAUACUGACACUCAGAUGCGAAAGCGUGGGGAGCAAACAGGAUUAGAUACCCUGGUAGUCCACGCCGUAAACGAUGUCUACUUGGAGGUUGUGGCCUUGAGCCGUGGCUUUCGGAGCUAACGCGUUAAGUAGACCGCCUGGGGAGUACGGUCGCAAGAUUAAAACUCAAAUGAAUUGACGGGGGCCCGCACAAGCGGUGGAGCAUGUGGUUUAAUUCGAUGCAACGCGAAGAACCUUACCUACUCUUGACAUCCAGAGAACUUUCCAGAGAUGGAUUGGUGGCCUUCGGGAACUCUGAGACAGGUGCUGCAUGGCUGUCGUCAGCUCGUGUUGUGAAAUGUUGGGUUAAGUCCCGCAACGAGCGCAACCCUUAUCCUUGUUUGCCAGCGAGUAAUGUCGGGAACUCCAGGGAGACUGCCGGUGAUAAACCGGAGGAAGGUGGGGACGACGUCAAGUCAUCAUGGCCCUUACGAGUAGGGCUACACACGUGCUACAAUGGCGCAUACAGAGGGCGGCCAACUUGCGAAAGUGAGCGAAUCCCAAAAAGUGCGUCGUAGUCCGGAUUGGAGUCUGCAACUCGACUCCAUGAAGUCGGAAUCGCUAGUAAUCGUGGAUCAGAAUGCCACGGUGAAUACGUUCCCGGGCCUUGUACACACCGCCCGUCACACCAUGGGAGUGGGCUGCAAAAGAAGUAGGUAGUUUAACCUUCGGGGGGACGCUUACCACUUUGUGGUUCAUGACUGGGGUGAAGUCGUAACAAGGUAGCGCUAGGGGAACCUGGCGCUGGAUCACCUCCUUAAACGAUGAU